AUUUAUUGAGAGUUUGAUCCUAGCUCAGGAUGAACGCUGGCGGCGUGGAUAAGGCAUGCAAGUCGAGCGAUGCAGCUACUAACACCUAGCUUCUAACAACCAACUUGAUACAAUGAAAAACAAAUGCCAUUCAGGUAUAGAAAAUUCAAAGUUUAUCAAGAUGCCAUAAGUUUCCAUGGCAAGGUAGUUAGAUUGACAAAAAAUUUUCCGAUAGACUUCAAGCACUUAACAGAUCAAAUGAAAAGAGCGACACUAUCAAUUGUGUUGAACAUAGCUGAAGGAUCUGCCAAAUCAUCUGAUAAAGAUUUUGGUAGAUUUAUCGGAAUGUCUCUUGGCUCUACCGACGAAGUUGUUGCAGGUUUUGAAGUCGCAAUGACUGAAAAGCUUGUAAAUCUGGAGCAGUUCACUCAAAUUGAGAUGGACGCUUUAGAAAUAAGUAAUCAACUCGGUGGUUUAUUAAAAAAGCUUAGAAGUUAAGUUUGGAAGUUGGAAGUUAGUUGUUGGUAGUUGUAUAGCGGCAGACGAGGUAGUAAUACGUAGGUACGUUCCCAAGAGUCUGGCAUAGCUCAUCGAAAGGUGAGGUAAUUCCAGAUGGUCCCGCAAGGGUAAAGCCAAGUUAUUUAUUUAAUUUGGUCGCUCUUGGAUCGGCCUGCGGCAUAUCAGCUAGUUGGUAGGGUAACGGCCUACCAAGGCGACGACGUGUAGGGGAGCUGAGAGGCUGACCCCCACCGAUGGAACUGAGAUAAAAGUUGUCUCCCUGUGGAGUAAUCCACAGGUAAAAUCCAACUCAUAACGGUGAAACCUUUGGGGGUAUGAUAUUAUAUACCCCAUGAAGGCAAUACCGUGGGAAGUUAAUGCACAAAAGUUAUCAGAUGCUUACGUGGCAGGUUUUCUAGAUGGCGAUGGUUCGAUAGUGGCAACUGUGGAAAAGCGUUUUGAGAGAAGACGUUUUCCUUACAGGGUCAGACUGCGAAUCAACUUUACGCAACACAAAAGACACCGAAGGUUGAUCGAGAUUAUAAAAAUUUUUCUCGGCAAUACCGGUAGCGUUCGUGAAGCGAAAAGUCACCCACUAGUAGAGCUUGUUAUACAAGAUCGGUAUGAAAUAGAGAGAAUUAUCACAAGAUUGUUACCCCACAUAGUUCUCAAGGAAAGACAGGCAAAGACCCUCCUUUCCAUCAUUGAGAUCUAUAAAAAAGCAACAGUCAAGACGAGAAGUUCUCUUUCAGAAAAAGAAUAUGUGGCUAUUUUGAAACUCGUGAGAGAAAUAAGGAAACUUAAUUCUCGGACGGGUGGGAAAAUAGAACUUAAGGCAUUUAACCCCGUAACGACUUUUCGCUUAGGCGAAAGAGUUUCUGAAAUGUCGUAGCAGACUAAAACAGAAGCUAACAUGUUGGCCCCAGACCUAGUUUUCUAAACUAGAGCUGGGUGAAGGUAUAGUCUGAUACUCCGAGUGAUCGGAGAAAACAUUAUGACGGUCCAUACUCCUACGGGAGGCAGUAGCCGAGAAUAUUCGACAAUGGACGAAAGUCUGAUCGAGCGACGCCGCGUGGUGGAUGAAGUCCUUCGGGACGUAAACACCUUUUAUGGGGGAGGAAUUUCGAUGACUGUACCCCAUGAAUAAGAGGUUGCUAACUCUGUAGACCCGAAGAGGGUUUGGUGCAGAGUUGCGGUGGUAACACCGCAUAGGAAAAUCUCGCUAUAUGCUGGAAAACCUUGUAAAAUUAACAGUACCGAUAAGGUGAAAAUCUGUUGAUAGACCUAAUGAAGAAGCCGCUGCUUCGGUACAGGUCGCAAGACAAUCAGCAGGCAACUCUGACCUUAAUUAGUCAGAGGCGCCUCAGAGACUACACGCGAGACUCCUGCUACGCGCAAAGCUAAGCAGGAUGAUGAUAUAGUCCAUCGAAAUUCAUGGAUGAAAGAACAAAGCAAAUUCUGUUAGGUUUAAUGCUCGGUGACGGACACUUUACGGCCUUUUAUGGCAGGAGUGCUACGUCAGCACUGGACAUGAAGGCAGAUAGCAGAUAUCUACCGUAUCUCCAGUGGCUUCACCGGGAACUUGCUCCAAUUGGAGUAUCAGAACUUAGACCAAAAAAGAAUUAUCAUCAACAUCGGUUCUAUACAAAGAGGACAAAAGAAAUCGGAGAAUUGCGAGCGUUAUUUUAUCCAGAGGGUAAGAAAAUUAUCCCGGACGAAAUAAAAAAGCUUCUCAAAUCCCCGCUUUCCCUCGCCGUAUGGUACCAGGAUGAUGGUACGUUGGAUUGUCGUGAUAAGUAUCACUACAAUGCUCUGUUUGCAACACACUGUUUUUCAUUCGACGAAUGCAGGUUGCUUGCGGAUACGCUCAAAGAAAACUUUGAGCUUGAUGUGAGGGUGGCGAAGUGUCGCAUGCGCAAUGUUUUGCGCUAUCGACUCUACGUUGUCUCAAAAAGCAUGGGUAAGUUCAUGGAGUUGAUAACUCCAUACAUUAAUUCCUGCUUCGCAUAUAAAAUUCGCAAGUUAUCAGAUAGCCAGCAGCAGCGGUAAUACAGAGACCUCAAGCGUUAUCCGGAAUUAUUGGGCGUAAAGGGUGCGUAGGUUUCCCAACAGGUUUCUUGUUAAAUCUCCAGGCUUAACCUGGAACAUGCGAGAAAAACCGGUGGGAUAGAGUAUGUGAGAGGUGCAUGGAACUCAUGGUGUAGGGGUGAAAUCCGUUGAUAUCAUGGGGAACACCAAAGGCGAAAGCAGUGCACUGGCACACUACUGACACUCAAGCACGAAAGCGUGGGGAGCGAACGGGAUUAGAUAAAUCCGCUUACCGCUCGUAAAAAAUAGUAACAAAGGUGUCCCUCCAAAUCGUGAGGUUUGGAUGAGCAUUCAGCUAUAUCGGGGAAACUCUCUAGCAUAUGGGCCAUACCGACCCGCUAGAGACAACCCCGAGGGAAGUCCAACCAGAUUAAUGGAAUUACAACAGAGGGAAGGAGGUCUUAAGUGAAUCGAUACAUAGGCUCUGCAAGCGAUUACCGAACAAACCAGGGACUUCGUAAGUUACUCGAACUCCUCGAGUGGAUGAUCUCCAACAUCGAGAACGAGUCACUUCGGAACGACUGGAGACGGAUGUUCGCAGACGGCUGGGAAAAGCCGGAUGUGAAUCCCAGAAUGCGCUGGGUCAAGCCAGGGCGGCCGCCCGGUAUCAAGGCCAAGCAGUAAUGGCAAAUCAUUAUUACCGCCCUUUGUUGUAAUUCUAUUGAAAAAGUUGUGACCCCGUAGAGACUACACGCAGAACAUCUCAAUCAAAUGAGAUGAUGAUAUAGUCCGAACUCACAGGUGACUGUGAGAGCUAGGCAGAAAUGUUCUAGCCUCGUAACAAAAAUAAUUGUGUUCCAGUUUGAAANNNNNNNNNNNNNNNNNNNNNNNNNNNNNNNNNNNNNNNNNNNNNNNNNNNNNNNAGAGAAGCGCCUGUGAAGUACGGCCGCAAGGCUAAAACAUAAAGGAAUAGACGGGGACUCGCACAAGCAGUGGAUCAUGUGGUUUAAUUCGACUAUAAACGAAGAACCUCACCAGGGUUAGAAAUCCAACCCCAUGCCGAACCAGAAACGGAUCGGCUGCUCACAAGGUAAGGGUUGGACAGGUGAUGCAUGGCUGUCGUCAGU
rnacentral:rRNA from 1 species